rnacentral:rRNA from 1 species
AUUGAACGCUGGCGGCAUGCCUUACACAUGCAAGUCGAACGGCAGCGCGGGAGCAAUCCUGGCGGCGAGUGGCGAACGGGUGAGUAACAUAUCGGAACGUGCCCUGGAGUGGGGGAUAACUAGUCGAAAGACUAGCUAAUACCGCAUACGAUCCUAGGAUGAAAGUGGGGGACCGCAAGGCCUCAUGCUCCUGGAGCGGCCGAUAUCUGAUUAGCUAGUUGGUGGGGUAAAGGCCCACCAAGGCGACGAUCAGUAGCUGGUCUGAGAGGACGACCAGCCACACUGGGACUGAGACACGGCCCAGACUCCUACGGGAGGCAGCAGUGGGGAAUUUUGGACAAUGGGGGCAACCCUGAUCCAGCAAUGCCGCGUGUGUGAAGAAGGCCUUCGGGUUGUAAAGCACUUUUGUCCGGAAAGAAAUCGUCCUGGCUAAUAUCCGGGAUGGAUGACGGUACUGGAAGAAUAAGCACCGGCUAACUACGUGCCAGCCGCCGCAGUAAU